GCCCGCCAUGGUGCCUCCUGUUGACCUGGGCUGCCGACGCCCCUCUGCCUCCCUCCAUGCCCCGACAUACCAGUCGCGGACAACGCCACAAGAGGCAGCUCAGACCGGAGGUAGAGGUGGAGGACCUGCCGUCUAUGUCCUGCCUCUGUGGAGCUCGCUGCAGAUAUGCAACAGGGGGGGGGGGGGAUGUUCCUCGCCUUCAUGGAGUUGCAGCCGCCAUCGACAACGUUCUGGAAAACCUCCAUGAGCUGCGGUUGCCAGUGAUGUCCCUGACCUGCUGCUGCCUGAGACCACUCUGUCCCGCUGCCGUCGGCCACAUCCCAAACUUGCAUCUGACAGGGCAUUUUGGUACGACGCAGUACAAGGUACAACGGUUGUGCAGGGCAUUUCUUCUCUGUUGGCCAGUGAAUGUGUCCAACUAUCAGUGGAUUUAUGAUACAUGCCUGCCUUUUGUUGUAUUAUUGUAUAGAAAAUGGAAACAGGUUGCCAGUGAAAGUGUCCAACUGUCAAUUGAUUUAUGAUAUGUGCUUGCUUUUUGUUGUGUAGAAAAUGAAAAUGGGUUGCUACUGAACGAAUGAACCUGAUUGAACAAAA